rnacentral:sRNA from 1 species
UUAAAACUGGAGAUAAUAAAUAUCAACCUCUAAGGAUUGUUAAAGGUUUAAGAUUUGGUAUUUUAAAAAAUUUAAUAUAAUAUUGUUUUACAAAACUACUGGAAAACCGAGUUCCUGCCAAAUGAGCAGGUGUGCCAUAAAUGUUUGUUCCCUUGCCUUCAAAAAGACGCAUGAAAUGAUGGGCAUGUUAGUCCUUUUGUUAUUGUAAGAGUCCUGCAUAGUUUGUUCUGUGACUCACUUAAUUUACAAGUCCCUAGCCCCACAUUAUUGGUAUCAGCAGUUUACUGUUUAGACUAAAGAAGAAAGACAGUGAAGAAGAGAAGGAAGGGAAUGAAGAAGAGAAAGAUUCCCGAGAUGUUCUUGACCCCCGAGACCUCCACGAUACUCGAGACUUUAGAGACCCGAGAGACCUCAGAUGUUUUAUAUGUGGAGAUGCUGGACAUGUACGAAGGGAGUGCCCAGAGGUCAAGCUGGCCCGUCAGAGGAAUAGCAGUGUGGCAGCAGCCCAGCUGGUCCGCAACCUUGUAAAUGCUCAACAGGUGGCUGGUUCAGCUCAGCAACAGGGUGAUCAGUCCAUAAGGACUAGACAGUCAUCAGAAUGUUCUGAAUCACCAUCUUAUUCUCCUCAGCCUCAGCCAUUUCCACAGAACUCUUCCCAGUCAGCUGCUAUUACUCAGCCUUCAUCUCAGCCAGGAUCCCAACCUAAGCUUGGCCCACCUCAGCAGGGAGCCCAACCUCCCCAUCAGGUCCAGAUGCCACUGUAUAACUUUCCCCA